GUAGGGGGCAAGCGUUAUCCGGAUUUACUGGGUGUAAAGGGAGCGUAGACGGCGAAGCAAGUCUGAAGUGAAAGCCCGGGGCUUAACCCCGGGACUGCUUUGGAAACUGUUUUGCUAGAGUGCUGGAGAGGUAAGUGGAAUUCCUAGUGUAGCGGUGAAAUGCGUAGAUAUUAGGAGGAACACUAGUGGCGAAGGCGGCUUACUGGACAGUAACUGACGUUGAGGCUCGAAAGCGUGGGGAGCAAACAGGAUUAGAUACCCUGGUAGUCCACGCGGUAAACGAUGAAUGCUAGGUGUUGGGGAGCAAAGCUCUUCGGUGCCGUCGCAAACGCAAUAAGCAUUCCACCUGGGGAGUACGUUCGCAAGAAUGAAACUCAA
rnacentral:rRNA from 1 species